UCUUAUAUUUCUUUACGGAGGGAGUAAUUAUAACCAAAUAUCAGUCAAGUGAAUCUUUGUUAGUAUGCUUGACUCAUAAAAACAGCAAGAGAAUGCCUCUCAUGGUCUGUUCUCUCUUACCUUGUUUCAGCAUCCAUGUAUCUAACGUUUUGUGUUACUACGUCAAACAUGCAGAAUUGCGAUAGUCAGUUUUUACAUCUGAAUCAUGUGACGAAUAUAUUGCGCAUAAGUUAUAUAACUUCUGUGUUGGAAUUUUGAGACAGAAAUCUACGGAUUCACAGCUCAUUUAUCUAUCAAAGAAGAUUGCCAGAGACUUGUAAAUCCCGUUGCACCCUUCACACAGUAACAGCUCUUGUUUUGCCAAAGAACAUCUCACUGAAUCCUUUUUCUGCUUCAGCUUGCCUUUUGCUGGACUGGUUAUGUAAGGUUUUUGUUUACAUUUCAUUGACUGUGACCUUCGUUUCUUGAAAUUGUACCAUUGUUAUGUACUACUAAUGCUACCAAAAACACAACAUGAUGUUCCUUCUGCAUAAAAACUGGAGAGGUUUGAAGAAAUCUGCAUCUGUGUACAAAUGGUCUCACAGAAGCAGACACCGGGUUGCUGUCAAUUGACAAGUUUUCUGGAUGAUUAAACAACAGCAUGUGAACAUCUCUGAAGCCAAAAUUUUCAAUUUUUUUUGUUGGUAGCUUGCCAAAGCAUCUCUGAAGCCUGAAGGUGUUUUUUAACAUUAUUAUUUUUUCGUUCUCGUUGAGAAGAUGCAUGUUCACUCAACAGUCUGGAAUUGUACGCUGUGACUUGUAAAUCUGCACCAGAAAAUCACAUUAAUCGGACGGUAGAGAUAAAUGUACUGCAAAAUUAGCAGUACUCCAGUUAUAUGCAAAAUUCUGGCGCAUGCUUCCAUCUCCGAAGCAAAAUUAGCAGGUACACCAGCACCGGAUGAGGCAGAAACUUAUAACUUGCACCUGGUUCGAUUUCUGCUUUGCCUGUUUCGUCUGUUAUGUUAUCUGAGUCAUCAAUCGUGUAAAAGGUACUCUCUCUAUAUUAGUGAUCUAAAUAAUCUUAUAGGAGUAUUUCUUUACAGAGGGGGUAAUUUGGAAGAACGAUCUGAAAUGCAAUAUAUGUUCGGCAAGUAGAAGAAGCCUGCCUUUUCAACCCAAAUCUUCAGAUACCAUCUUUGACGUAUUAAAAAACAGCAACAUUUCAUGUUAAUUGUUCUUAACGGCUGCGCUUCGCCGGUAUCAACUUUUGGAAAGUUUUUUUAGGGUAAACUUUUGAAAGUUGACUUAUAUACUUGCUUUUAGUAACUGAAUGUCAAAAGAGUCGAGACUACAAGAAACACAAGCACAUUUGGUCGACGACCACAGAGACCGGGCGACAAAUCUAUUAGGUUGAUCUCUCUUUCGUUCGAACCCAACGGGUCGAAGGGGCCCCUGACUCGCGCCCUGAUCGGGGGCGCCCAACCAAACCAUGGUUGGUGGGCCCCUGUGACCUGCGCUAUAUAAACAGAGGUGGGGGCCAGGGCACGACUCACGAGGUUAAUCGCUGCCACAAUCCCCACCUACAAUCCCUACCAAUCUAGGGUUAGCGUGGUGCUCACGGGAAGCACACCGCCGCCGCCAUCUCUCUGCCAUCACCGGCCCCUACUUCACCAUGGCCGGCGCUGGAUCGAGCUCGUCUGGACAAGGAGAAGGUAGGUGUACCGGAAUGAUCUAACCUAUCCGAUCCAAAGCAAUCUAUCAAUGGUAUCAGCCAGAUCGGGUUAGACUUUUUUCGGUUGAAAAGAAAUCACAGAAAGAAUCCCUCCCCCCAAAGAACCCUAGAAGGGCAAAGAAAUCUAAAAGAAAAGUUGUGCCGCCGUCAUGGUCGCACCUGUUCCUCUCGAUUCGGACACGCAUCGGCAAGCCGAGGCGUCAGACGAAGAACCACCCCGAAAGGGGCAAAGUACACUGCAGCCAAACCGCUCGACGGCGGCGCGCCCACCGCAAGGGGGACGCGCAGCCGGCGAGGGGGAUGGCCACGGCGCCGCAUCGGAAGCCCGCCGGAUCUCUCUCUCUCUCUCUCUCUCUCUGUUGUUGUAAGCGGUGGCAGAGAAGAAGAGAAAAAGAAAGGGAAAAGGGAAUCCGCUCGCGCGGCGCAGUGGUGGGCGGCCGGCGCAGUCGUGCCUCGCCCCUACUCCACAGAGAACGGCAUCGACGGAGGCGCAAGGUGAGCAGAGGAGGGCGCAGCAGGCGUCCCUCUCUCUCUCGGGAAAAGGAAAAGCCAGGGGGAAGAGAUGCGGCUAGGCUCGCGCGGUGGUGGACGCCAUCGCCAGCGGCUCGACCGGACCGGCGCGGUCGCCCGGCGACCGGGACAGCGACGGGUUGAGGAGAGGAGAGCGGCGCGCGAGGGGAGGAAAUGGAUAGGGUUUCCCCUCGCCCCUGCUGUUGGGUCGGUUUUGUUCGCCCGCAACGAACGCGUGGCCGUCAGCUCCAAUCCGACGGCUAUGACGCUAACCCUAGCGCUGGGAUGGGCCACUGGGCCGAAAGUGGACUCGCGCGGCUGGGCUCUGGUUGGCUGGCGCGCUGAGCAGGCUGCGGGCGCAGGAGCCGGACCAUGCCAGCCGCUGCUGGGCCGUGGCCAGCCGCCGCGGGCGCGCGUGCCGGGCCAGUUGCCAAUUUUAUUUUCGUUUUAAUAGUUUCUGUCAAGUUUUUUGGGUAGUUUUCUAAUAGAUUUUCUAUGCAAUUUUUUCCAACGAAAAUUUUUGUUUAGAAAAUAUAAAAGUAAACAGAAAAUGUUUCUGAAAAUGAUAAUAGAAAAUUUUCAGAAAAAGAAAUGUUCAUGAAUUUUGUACAACGAAAAUAAUAAAGUUCAUGAAUUUUUCUUUAGUAAAAGAAAAAGUUUCUGUAAAGAGUAAAAAGUUCAUGAAUUUUUAUUCAUGUUUUUUCCGCUGCGUAAAUAAUUAAUAGUGCUCUUUUACAAAGAAAAUAAAAGUUUAGACAGAAUUAAAAUUUUAAGAGCAUGCUAAAGUGAUGAAUAUGAUUAUGUUAUUUUUUACGACCAACGAUGUUAAUAACAUGAUCAUGUUUUAUUAUUGAAAAUAAAAGUGCUCUUUUAAAAGUGAAAAGAACUAAAGUAAAAGAUUAAAUUGUUGCUUCUCUAAUGCUUUUUUGAACCAAUCGGUUAAAAUUGUUUAGAGAGUAAAAGAGUACAAAAUUGUUUUUGAAUAGAAUAUUGUAAAGUUUCCGUUGCAAAGUAAAAGUUUUAUCCUCCAAUUAAAUUGGAACCAACGGGAAAAUUUAAUUGAAAGAAAUGUUCUUAGCAAUGUUUUUCCCCUGUGGGUGAAAUAAGAUGCAGAUAGUUUCCGCUAUGACAAAAAAAAGAUAUUUGUUUUAAAGUUAAAACAUGGUAUUGUUAUUUUCUGACCAACGUUGAUGAUAACAGUGCUACAAUUAAUGAGUCUUAUGUUCAAAGUUCAAAGUUUAAAUAUUUGAUAAAUUUUGUAUCAAAGUGAUCAAUUUUUAGAGAACGGAUAAAGAUCAAGAAAUGAUCUUGAACUAGAGAAAUAUAUAUUUCUUGUUCCCGCUGCAAUAAAGUUGAUUCUUAGCAAAGUUGUUUAAUACAAAUACUAUCAUCACAUUGUUUAUGAGUUAUAUGCAUUAUUUCCAUUUCCGCCCAACGGUGAUAUGGAAUUAAUGUAGAAGGAUGAUGUUUAUUCUAAUUCUGCCACAACGGUGAUUUAGAAUAUAGAAGAAAGUUUCAAAAGUUUAAUGUGCAUUUUUUUAACCAGAUCACGUAGGGUUAUUUUUAUGCCCAUUAUUCUCAGACUAAAAGUUUUCCAUGCUUUCAUUCGUGAAAGCGAAUGGCUGGGUACUUGUGACCCGAAAGAUGACCAAGAAAGGUCAUAACGUGAGGGAGUAUGUUCUCUCUAAAGAAUGGCAUCAAAAGAAAAGAAAUAGAUCAUUGAGAGUCUUGGUUGAUGAAUGUCUUUCAUGUACUCUCUAUGAAGAAGAUUUUUCAGUCAACAUGAUUUGAGAUGAAACAAGCAACAUGCGUGUUUAAUUUGACCAACGUCGGAUCAAGCAUGUGUGUCAAAGAGCAUUCAGAUUUAUUCCUAAAUUUGAUGAUUGAAUAUGCAGGCAAAAGAGCCAAUUCUGGCAUUUAUGUUCCCUUAUAGGAAAUUACCCGCAUGGAGAGAAAAGAUGAUUAUGAUAAAACCCGCAUGGCGGGAAAUGUUUGGGAAAAUACCUGCGUAACGUGGUAAAGCUGACAUAAUAUUAUGUAAAAAAUCCCGUAUGGCGGGAGAAUUCUGGCAAGAGAAAGAUAUGAUAACUCAUGUGCUUUUAAUGUAUCCCACUCUGGGAGAAACGAACGGAGUAACUGAAAGGCGCAACUAUACACUUAUGGAUAUGGUGCGCAGCAUGAUGAGUUAUUCCAACUUGCCAUUGGGAUUAUAGAUGGAGGCGCUUAAAACCGCCAUUCACAUUCUCAAUAGAGUACCAAGCAAGUCGGUGCCCAAAACACCGUACGAGCUAUGAACAGGAAGGGUGCCCUCCCUACAACACUUCAGGGUGUGGGGGUGCCCUGCUGAGGCCAAAAUGUUUAAUCCAAUCAUUGCAAAGUUAGAUCCAAAAACAGUGAGUUGCCACUUCAUUGACUAUCCAGACAGAUCAAAGGGUUUUUGUUUCUACUGUCCAGACAGAUAUACAAAGUUUGUAGAAACAAGACAUGCAGUCUUCUUAGAGGAUGAAAUGAUGAGGGGGAGCAUGGUGCUUGGAAAAUUGAUCUUGAGGAGAAGAGGGUGCAUGCACCUAAUCCGAUGAUUCAGGAGCCAAUUUUCUCACUACCAGUUGCAACUCCACCCAUGACAACUAGGGGGGUAGACCCAGAACCUGUCCUUCAGGAGUCGACUGAACCCGUUGUUGAGCAUGAAAGGGAGGUGCAACAGCAAAUUUUACAAGAAGUGUCAGAAGUUGAGGCACAUAAUGUGCCAGAAACAGAGGCCCUUAGAAGGUCUACAAGACCAAGAAAGUCAGAUAUUUCUACUGACUUUAAAGUUUAUAACACAGAAAUGGUUGAUAUGGAAAAAGAUCCCACCUCAUAUGAAGAAGCCAUGAGAAGCCCGCAUUCAUCGAAGUGGGUGAAGGCAAUGGAAGACGAGAUGAAAUCGAUGAGUUCCAAAGAUGUUUGGGACUUAGAGAAAAUUCCUAAAGAAGCCAAAACAAUAGGCUGUAAAUGGGUCUACAAAAUUAAGGAUGACUCUAAAGGGAAUAUAGAAAAGUAUAAAGCACGACUCGUGGCAAAAGGAUUUACACAAAGAGAAGGGAUAGAUUACAAUGAGACAUUUUCUCCAGUCUCAUGUAAGGAUUCCUUCAGAAUCAUAAUGGCAUUAGUUGCUCAUUUUGAUUUAGAGUUACAUCAAAUGGAUGUUAAGACGGCAUUUCUGAAUGGUGAUUUAAAAGAAAAGGUCUACAUGAAACAACCCAAGGGUUUUAUCAUGGAAGGCAAGGAAAAUAUGGGAUGCCGCCUGAAAAAUCCAUUUAUGGAUUAAGACAAGCCUCUCGGCAGUGGUAUCUAAAGUUUAAUCAAACGAUUAAAAGUUUUGGAUUUAAAGAAAAUAUUGAGGAUAAUUGCAUUUAUGCAAAGUUUAAAAAUGGGAAAUAUAUUUUCCUAAUCUUGUAUGUGGAUGAUUUCCUGCUUGCUAGUAGUGAUGUUAGUCUACUACAAGAAACCAAGAAAUACUUAUCCUCAAAUUUUGACAUAACAGAUCUUGGUGAAGCAUCAUAUGUUUUGGGCAUAGAAAUUCACCGAGAUAGGAACAAUGGAGUCUUAGGACUAUCUCAGAAAGCAUAUUUAGAAAAGGUUCUUAAAAAGUAUAAUAUGCAUGCGAGUAAAGCCACACCUGCUCCAAUAGUCAAGGGUGAUAGUUUUGGGAAAUUCCAAUGCCCCAAGAACCAGUAUGAGAUCGAUCAAAUGAAAGCAGUACCAUAUGCUUCGGCAGUUGGUAGCUUACAGUAUGCACAAGUGUGCACUCGCCCUGACUUAGCUUUUAUCACCGGGGUACUCGGUAGAUAUCAAGAGAAUCCAGGCCUAGAGCACUGGAAGAUGGUAAAGAAAGCAUUGUGUUAUGCGCAAGGCACGAAGGACUACAUGCUAAUAUACAGGAGAAGUGAUUCCCUAGAGAUAAAAGGGUAUUCAGACGCAUAUUUUGCGGGGGACAGAGAUGAUAGAAAAUCCACGUCAGGAUACAUAUUCACCCUCACUGGGGGAGCUAUUUCGUGGAAAAGCUCCAAACAGUCGAUAGUUGCAUCAUCCACGAUGUAUGCAGAAUUCAUAGCAUGCUUCGAAGCCACGGGGCAGGCGAUAUGGCUAAAGAUAUUUGUACCCGACUUGAAAGUGGUAGAUUGCAUUCACAAACCACUAAAGAUGUACUGUGAUAACCAGCCCGCAGUAUUCUAUGCUCACAACAACAAGUCGAGUAAUGCUGCCAAAACAAUAGAGAUAAGGUAUUAUGUUGUGAAAGAUAAAAUCCAGGAUCAAACUAUAAGUCUCGAGCAUAUACGGACAAUGGAUAUGCUUGCGGAUCCGCUAACAAAAGGCUUACCACCCAAUGUUUUCAAGGAACACUUAGCCGACAUGGGUUUAAGGGAAAGCCUUAUGAUUCCUGGAUAGGCCUAAAAGGAACAUAAUUUGUUUCUGAACAUAACGUAUGUUGUAGCUGUAUGAUUCUAACGGCAAUUAAGCCGUGACGAUGAAACAUGCUCUAUGUACCAAUAUGUGAUGAAACACAUAAACUAGAAAGUAUAAAGUUAAAAGUAAAGUUGAGAUCAAGGGGGAGAAUGUUAGGUUGAUCUCUCUCCCGUUCGAACCCAACGGGUCGAACGGGCCCCUAACUCGCGCCCUGAUCGGGGGCGCCCAACCAAACCAUGGUUGGUGGGCCCCUGUGACCCGCGCUAUAUAAACAGAGGUGGGGGCCGGGGCACGACUCCUGAGGUUAAUCGCUGCCACAAUCCCUACCGAUCUAGGGUUAGCGCGGUGCUCACGGGAAGCACACCGCCGCCGCCAUCUCUCUGCCAUCACCGACCCCUACUUCACCAAGGCCGGCGCUGGAUCGAGCUCGUCUGGACAAGGAGAAGGUAGGUGUACUGGAAUGAUCUAACCUAUCCGAUCCAAAGCAAUCUAUCAAAAUCCACAAACCCACGGUGCCGGCUGACAUGAUGAGGUAACCUUAAGUGCCCAAGUGUACGUGUUGUUAUAGAUAAAUUGUUGGUUUUCUGCGAAAGAAAAACAGAUGAUUGUUCGUUGGGUGGCACGUGGGGUGGUUAAUACUCCCGGUCUAUGAGCAAUCAGACCCGAGGUUUGAAACUUGUAUGGUUAUUUCUUUUAGUGAGAAAAAUGCAUUUUCGUCUUUAGUGACAGAUAAUGACUUCAUAUCUAUGACUAGUCUUUUGUUGGCGCCGUGUGGACAGUGCAUGUGUACAAUCAAAGGUUAAUUCUCGCUAAUGUGGUUCUCACUUUUGGCCAUCGCCUCUUUUUUCCGAAAAGGGGCGCUUUAUUACUUAAAAGGUUUAAAUAUUACACCUGGCCUCUGCAUAACUAUAAUGCACACAAUCAAACAAGCUCUCUCACACAAACGAAAAUUAAGAAGGCGAAAUACAAAGAAACAUGUAGAGUCUGUAUAACGCCUAAAGCGAAGGUGGGCCAAUCCUAAGAUAAUGCUGCCACCCAUGUUGGGUAAAAGUAUCCCUCGCUGUAUCCUCCAAUCGUGUACACACCUCCGUAAACAGGUCUCGAGUCUCCACAUGUUGUAGAGAGGACCAUAAACAAAGAGUCCCGGUACAUCUGUAGAUAACCUGCAUCAGAGAAGUACUUUUAUCGUUAAACACCUUAUCAUUUCUACAUAGCCAAAGAGACCAAAUAACGGCAAGCGCUCCCACCCUAAGAAUAGUUCUAAACCUAUAAUAUAUCCCAUGUAACCAAUUGCCAAAUACAUUAGCAACACUACAAGGAGGAUACAAGCCAGAAGCUAUCUGGAUGACUGACCAUAUAGAGCGAGCCAAUUUGCAUUGGAAGAAUAAAUGUUUUAUUGUCUCAUCAUAGUGACAAAAGACACGUUGCGGACUUCCAUGCCAAUUUCUCUUAAUAAGGUUAUCUUUAGUAAGAAUGACUCCGCGACGAAGAUAACAUGCAAAGAUUUUAUUCUUCAGAGGUAUCUUCAUCUUCCAGAUCUUCUUGUUAUUAUCAACUGGCACAUCAGACUGGAUUAACGCUCUAUACAUAGACUCCACUGAGAAUUGUCCAUUCCCAUGUAGGUUCCAUCGAAACACAUCAGACCCGUGUGACAAAUGCACCAUGGACAACCGCUGGAGCAGGAUGUACCAUGGUUGAAGUCUGGGUCCAAUUAAAUCUCUUUUGAACGUCACAUUUGGCGGAAAUGAUUCCAUUAACGUGGCGAUAGUAUCACCCUUGUGACGCACAAUGUUGUAUAGAGCCGGAUAUUGUUCUCGGAGUGUGGCAUUUCCUAGCCACUUGCCCUUCCAGAAUCUAAUUUCCGAGCCGUCCUUAAUUGAGAAGAAUCCAUAGGAGAAGAAAUAUUUCUUCGUAGCCAUCAGACCUGCCCAAAAGUGAGAAUCCCCAGGCCUUCUCAAGAGGGUUUGCCAUACACCAUCUUCCGUCAGUAAUUUAAACAACCAUUUGCCGAGGAGGGCCCUAUCAUUUAUUUCCUUAUUUCAAGAUAAAUGUUUAUUAUUCAUGCUAGAAUUGUAUUAACCGGAAACUUGAUACAUGUGUGAAUACAUAGACAAAAUAGUGUCACUAGUAUGCCUCUACUUGACUAGCUCGUUGAAUCAAAGAUGGUUAAGUUUCCUAGCCAUAGACAUGAGUUGUCAUUUGAUUAACGAGGUCACAUAAUUAGAGAAUGACGUGAUUGACUUGACCCAUUCCGUUAGCUUAGCACUUGAUCGUUUAGUAUGUUGCUAUUGCUUUCUUCAUGACUUAUACAUGUUCCUAUGACUAUGAGAUUAUGCAACUCCCGAAUACCGGAGGAACACUUUGUGUGCUACCAAACGUCAGAACGUAACUGGGUGGUUAUAAAGGUGCUCUACAGGUGUCUCCAAUGGUGUUUGUUGAGUUGGCAUAGAUCGAGAUUAGGAUUUGUCACUCCGAUUGUCGGAGAGAUAUCUCUGGGCCCUCUCGGUAAUGCACAUCACUAUAAGCCUUGCAAGCAAUGUGACUAAUUAGUUAGUUGCGGGAUGAUGCAUUACGGAACGAGUAAAGAGACUUGCCGGUAACGAGAUUGAACUAGGUAUUGAGAUACCGUCGAUCAAAUCUCGGGCAAGUAACAUAUCGAUGACAAAGGGAACAACGUAUGUUGUUAUGCGGUUUGACCGAUAAAGAUCUUCGUAGAAUAUGUAGGAGCCAAUAUGAGCAUCCAGGUUCCGCUGUUGGUUAUUGACCGGAGACGUGUCUCCGUCAUGUCUACAUAGUUCUCGAACCCGUAGGGUCCGCACGCUUAAAGUUCAAUGACGAUCGGUAUUAUGAGUUUAUGUGUUUUGAUGUACCGAAGGUAGUUCGGAGUCCCGGAUGUGAUCACGGACAUGACGAGGAGUCUCGAAAUGGUCGAGACAUAAAGAUUGAUAUAUUGGAUGGUAUAUUCGAACACCAGAAGUGUGCCGUUUCGGAGAAAACCGGAGUGCCGGAGGGGUUACCGGAACCCCCCGGAGAAAUAUUGGGCCUUAGUGGGCCUUAGGGGAGAGAGAGGGCAGCAGCCCAGGAGGUGGCGCGCCCCUCCCAUGGGGAGUCCGAAUUGGACUAGGGGAGGGGGCGCAGCCCCUCUUUCCCUCUCCCUCUCCCUCUCUUUCCUCCCCCCUUCCCCAUUCCUAGUAGGACUAGGAAAGGAUGAAUCCUACUCCUAUUAGGCGGAGGAUUCCUCCUCUCCUUGGGGUGCACCAAGGCCGGCCGGCCUCCCCCCUUGCUCCUUUAUAUACGGGGGCAGGGGGCACCCUAAGACACACAAGUUGAUUGUUCCAAGCCGUGUGCGGUGCCCCCCUCCACCAUAAUCUACCUCGGUCAUAUCGUAGCGGUGCUUAGGCGAAGCCUUGCGUCGGUAGCAUCAUCAUCACCGUCAUCAUGCCGUCGUGCUGAUGAAACGCUCCCUCGACACUCUGCUGGAUCGUGAGUUCAUGGGACGUCAUCGAGCUGAACGUGUGCUGAACUCGGAGGUGCCGUGCGUUCGGUACUUGGAUCUAUCGGAUCGUGAAGACGUACGACUACAUCAACCGUGUUGAUAAAAUGCUUCCGCUUAUGGUCUACGAGGGUACGUGGACGACACUCUCCCCUCUCAUUGCUAUGCAUCACCAUGAUCUGGCGUGUGCGUAGGAAUUUUUUUGAAAUUACUACGUUCCCCAACAGUGCUAUCAGAGCCAGGUUUAUGCGUAGAUGUUAUAUGCACGAGUAGAACACAAGUGAGUUGUGGGCGAUACUAGUCAUACUGCUUACCAGCAUGUCAUACUUUGAUUCAGCGAUAUUGUUGGAUGAAGCGGCCCGGACCGACAUUACGCGUACGCUUACGCGAGACUGGUUCUACCGACGUGCUUCGCACAUAGGUGGCUGGCGGGUGCCAGUUUCUCCAACUUUAGUUGAAUCGAUUGUGGCUACGCCCGGUCCUUGUGAAGGUUAAAACAACACAUACUUUACGAAAUAUCGUUGUGGUUUUGAUGUGUAGGUAAGAACGGUUCUUGUUCAGCCCGUAGCAGCCACGUAAAACUUGCAACAACAAAGUAGAGGACAUCUAACUUGUUUUUGCAGGGCAUGUUGUGAUGUGAUAUGGUCAAGACAUGAUGCUAAAUUUUAUUGUAUGAGAUGAUCAUGUUUUGUAACAAAGUUAUCGGCAACUGGCAGGAGCCAUAUGGUUGUCGCUUUAUUGUAUGCAAUGCAAUCGCCCUGUAAUUUGUUUUUACUUUAUCACUAAGCGGUAGCGAUAGUCGUAGAAACAAUAGUUGGCGAGACGACAACGAUGCUACGAUGGAGAUCAAGGUGUCGCGCCGGUGACGAUGGUGAUCAUGACGGUGCUUUGGAGAUGGAGAUCAAAGGCACAAGAUGAUGAUGGCCAUAUCAUAUCACUUAUAUUGAUUGCAUGUGAUGUUUAUCUUUUAUGCAUCUUAUUUUGCUUAGAUCGACGGUAGCAUUAUAAGAUGAUCUCUCACUAAAUUUGAUGGUAUAAGUGUUCUCCCUGAGUAUGCACCGUUGUGAAAGUUCGUCGUGCCGAGACACCGCGUGAUGAUCGGGUGUGAUAAGCUCUACGUUCACAUACAACGGGUGCAAGCCAGUUUUGCACACGCAGAAUACUCGGGUUAAACUUGAUGAGCCUAGCAUAUGCAGAUAUGGCCUCGGAACACUGAGACCGAAAGGUCGAGCAUGAAUCAUAUAGUAGAUAUGAUCAACAUAUAGUGAUGCUCACCAUUGAAAACUACUCCAUCUCACGUGAUGAUCGGACAUGGUUUAGUUGAUUUGGAUCACGUGAUCACUUAGAUGAUUAGACGGAUGUCUAUCUAAGUGGGAGUUCUUAAGUAAUAUGAUUAAUUAAACUUUAAUUUAUCAUGAACUUAGUCCUGGCAAUAUUAGCAUAGCUAUGUUGUAGAUCAAUAGCUCGCGAUGUAGCUCCCCGUUUAUAUUUAUAUGUUCCUAGAGAAAAAUAAGUUGAAAGAUGUUAGUAGCAAAGAUGCGGACUAGCUCCGUGAUCUGAGGAUCAUCCUCAUUGUUGCACAGAAGUAUUAUGUCCUUGAUGCACCGCUAGGUGACAUAACUAUUGCUGGAGCAGAUGCAGACGCUAUGAACGUUUUGACAAAAGCUCGGUAUGAUGACUACUUGAUAGUUUAGUGCACCAUGCUUUACGGCUUAGAACCGGGACUUCAAAAAUGUUUUGAUCGCCACGGAGCAUAUAAGAUGUUCCAAGAGUUGAAAUUGGUAUUUCAUACUCAUGCCCGUGUCGAGAGGUAUGAGACAUCUGACAGUACUUUGCCUACAAGAUGGAGGAGAAUAGCUCAACCAGUGAGCAUGUGCUCAGAUUGUCUGGGUACUACAAUUGCUUGAAUCUAGUGGGAGUUAAUCUUCCAGAUAAGAUAGUAAUCGACAAAGUUCUCUAGUCACUAUCAACAAGUUACUAGUACUUCGUGAUGAACUAUAAUAUGCAAGGGAUGACGAAAACAAUUCCCAAGCUCUUCGCGAUGCUAAAAUCGGCGAAGGUAGAAAUCAAGAAAAACAUCAAGUGUUGAUGGUUGACAAGACCACUAGUUUCAAGAAAAGGGGCAAAGGGAAGAAGGGGAACUUCAAGAAGAACGACAAGCAAGUUGCUGCUCAAGUGAAGAAGCCCAAGUCUGGACCUAAGCCUGAGACUAAGUGCUUCUACUGCAAAGGGACUGGUCACUGGAAGCGGAACUACCCCAAGAAUUUGGCGGAUAAGAAGGAUAGCAAAGUGAACAAAGGUAUAUUUGAUAUACAUGUUAUUAAUGUGUACUUUACUGGUGUUUAUAGCAACCCCUCAGUAUUUGAUACUAGUUCAGUUGCUAAGAGUAGUAACUCGAAACAGGAGUUGCAAAAUAAACAGAGACUAGUUCAGGGCGAGGUGAUGAUGUGUGUUGGAAGUGAUUCCAAGGUUGAUAAGAUCACCAUCGCACACUCCCUUCACCUUUGGGAUUAGUGUUGAACCUAAAAUAAAUGUUAUUUGGUGUUUGCGUUGAGUAUGAAUAUGAUUGGAUCAUGUUUAUUGCAAUACGGUCAUUCAUGUAAGUCAAAGAAUAAUUGUUUUUCGAUUUACAUGAAUAAAACCUUCUAUGGUCAUACACUCAAUAUAAAUGGUUUAUUGAAUCUCGAUCAUAGUGAUACACAUAUUCAUAAUAUUGAAGCCAAAAGAUGCAAAGUUAAUAAUGACAGUGCAACUUAUUUGUGGCACUGUCGUUUAGGUCAUAUUGGUGUAAAGCGCAUGAAGAAACUCCAUGCUGAUGGGCUUUUGGAAUCACGUGAUUAUGAAUAACUUGAUGCUUGCGAACCAUGCCUCAUGGGCAAGAUGACUAAGACUCCGUUCUCCGAAACAAUGGAGCGAGCAACUGACUUAUUGGAAAUAAUACAUACUGAUGUAUGCGGUCCGAUGAGUGUUGAGGCUCGCGGCGGGUAUCGUUAUUUUCUGACCUUCAUAGAUGAUUUGAGCAGAUAUGGGUAUAUCUACUUGAUGAAACACAAGUCUGAAACAUUUGUAAAGUUCAAAGAAUUACAGAGUGAAGUGGAGAAUCAUCGUAACAAGAAAAUAAAAGUUUCUACGAUAUGAUCGCAGAGGUAAAAUAUUUGAGUUAGAUUUUGGCCUUCAGUUAAAACAAUGUGAAAUAGUUUCACUACUCACGCCACCUGGAACACCGCAGUGUAAUGGUGUGUCCGAACGUCGUAACCGUACUUUAUUAGAUAUGGUGCGAUCUAUGAUGUCUCUUACCAAUCUACCACUAUCGUUUUGGGGUUAUGCAUUAGAGACAGCUACAUUCACGUUAAAUAGGGCACCAUCUAAAUCCGUGGAGAUGACACCGUAUGAACUGUGGUUUGGCGAGAAACCUAAGCUGUCGUUUCUUAAAGUUUGGGACCGUGAUGCUUAUGUGAAAAAGUUUCAACAUGAUAAGCUCGAACCCAAAUCGGAGAAGUAAAUCUUCAUAGGAUACCCAAAAGAAAUAGUUGGGUACACCUUCUAUCACAGAUCCAAAGGCAAGAUAUUCGUUGCUGAGAAUGGAUCCUUUCUAGAGAAGGAGUUUCUCUCGAAAGAAGUGAGUGGGAGGAAAGUAGAACUUGAUGAGGUAAUUGUACCUUCUCUCGAAUUGGAAAGUAGCUCAUCACUGAAAUCCGUUCCAGUGAUGCCUACACGAAUUAGUGAGGAAGUUAAUGAUGAUGAUCAUGAAACUUCAGAUCAACUUACUACCGAACCUCGUAGGUCAACCAGAGUAAGAUCCGCACCAGAGUGGUACGGUAAUCCUGUUAUGGAAGUCAUGUUACUAGACCAUGACGAACUUGCGAACUAUGAGGAAGCGAUGAUGAGCCCAGAUUCCGCGAAAUGGCUUGAGGCCAUGGAAUCUGAGAUAGGAUCCAUGUAUGAAAACAAAGUAUGGACUUUGGUGGAAUUGCCCGAUGAUCGGCAAGCCAUUGAGAAUAAAUGGAUCUUCAAGAGGAAGACAGACGCUGAUAGUAGUGUUACUAUCUACAAAGCUCGAAUUGUCGCAAAAAUGUUUUCAACAAGUUCAAGAUGUUGAAUACAAUGAGAUUUUCUCACUUGUAUCGAUGCUUAAAAGUAUGUCCGAAUCAUGUUAGCAAUUGCCGCAUUUUAUGAAAUUUGGCAAAUGGAUGCCAAACCUGCAUUCCUUAAUGGAUUUCUUAAAAGAAGAGUUGUAUAUGAUGCAACCAGAAGGAUUUGUCGAUCCUAAAGGUGCUAACAAAGUGUGAAAAGCUCCAGCGAUCCUUCUAUGGACUGGUGCAAGCAUCUCGGAGUUGGAAUAUAUGCUUUGAUAAGUUGAUCAAAGCAUAUAGUUUUAUACAGGCUUACGGUGAAGCCUGUAUUUACAAAAGUGAGUGGGAGCACUACAGCCUUUCUGAUAAGUAUAUGUGAAUGACAUAUUUUUGAUCGGAAAUAAUGUAGAAUUUUCUGGAAAGCAUAAAGGAGUAUUUGAAAGGAGUUUUUCAAAGAAAGACCUCGGUGAAGCUGCUUACAUAUUGAGCAUCAAGAUCUAUAGAGAUAGAUCAAGACGCUUGAUAAGUUUUUUCAAUGAGUACAUACCUUGACAAGAUUUUUGAAGUAGUUCAAAAUGGAACAGUCAAAGAAGGAGUUCUUGCCUGUGUUGCUAGGUGUGAAGUUGAGUAAGACUCAAAACCCGACCACGGCAGAAAAUAGAAAGAGAAUGAAAAGUCAUUCCCUAUGCCUCAAUCAUAGGUUCUAUAAAGUAUGCUAUGCUAUGUACCAGAUCUAUUGUAUACCCUGCCCUGAGUUUGGCAAGGGAGUACAAUAGUGAUCUAGGAGUAGAUCACUGGACAUUGGUCAAAAUUAUCCUUAGAGGACUAAGGAAAUAUUUCUCGGUUAUGGAGGCGAUAAAGAGUUCGUUGUAAAGAGUUACGUCGAUGCAAGCUUUGACACUGAUCUGGAUGACUCUGAGUCUCAAUCUGGAUACAUAUUGAAAGUGGGAGCAUUUAGCUAGAGUAGCUCCAUGCAGAGCAUUGUAGACAUAGAAUAUUUGCAAAAUACAUACGACUCUCAAUGUGGCAGACCCGUUGACUAAACUUCUCUCACAAGCAAAAAAUGACCACACCUUAGUACUCUAUGUGCGUUAAUAACAUAUCAAUGUGAACUAGAUUAUUGACUCUAGUAAACCCUUUGGUUAUUGGUCAGAUGAUGAUGUGAACUAUGGGUGUUAAUCACAUGGUGAUGUGAACUAUUGGUGUUAAAUCACAUGGCGAUGUGAACUAGAAUUAUUGACUCUAGUGCAAGUGGGAGACUGAAGGAAAUAUGCCCUAGAGGCAAUAAUAAAGUUAUUAUUUAUUUCCUUAUUUCAAGAUAAAUGUUUAUUAUUCAUGCUAAUUGUAUUAACCGAAAACUUGAUACAUGUGUGAAUACAUAGACAAAAUAGAGUGUCACUAGUAUGCCUCUACUUGACUAGCUCGUUGAAUCAAAGAUGGUUAAGUUUGCUAGACAUAGACAUGAGUUGUCAUUUGAUUAACGAGAUCACAUCAUUAGAGAAUGACAUGAUUGACUUGACCCAUUCCGUUAGCUUAGCACUUGAUCGUUUAGUAUGUUGCUAUUGCUUUCUUCAUGACUUAUACAUGUUCCUAUGACUAUGAGAUUAUGCAACUCCCGAAUACCGGAGGAACACUUUGUGUGCUACCAAACGUCAGAACUUAACUGGGUGAUUAUAAAGGUGCUCUACAGGUGUCUCCGAUGGUGUUUGUUGAGUUGGCAUAGAUCGAGAUUAGGAUUUGUCACUCCGAUUGUCGGACAGAUAUCUCUGGGCCCUCUCGGUAAUGCACAUCAUUGUAAGCCUUGCAAGCAAUGUGACCAAUUAGUUAGUUGCGGGAUGAUGCAUUACGGAACGAGUAAAGAGACUUGCCGGUAACGAGAUUGAACUAGGUAUUGAGAUACCGUCGAUCAAAUCUCGGGCAAGUAACAUAUCGAUGACAAAGGGAACAACGUAUGUUGUUAUGCGGUUUGACCGAUAAAGAUCUUCGUAGAAUAUGUAGGAGCCAAUAUGAGCAUCCAGGUUCCGCUGUUGGUUAUUGACCGGAGACGUGUCUCCGUCAUGUCUACAUAGUUCUCGAACCCGUAGGGUCCGCACGCUUAAAGUUCAAUGACGAUCGGUAUUAUGAGUUUAUGUGUUUUGAUGUACCGAAGGUAGUUCGGAGUCCCGGAUGUGAUCACGGACAUGACGAGGAGUCUCGAAAUGGUCGAUACAUAAAGAUUGAUAUAUUGGACGGCUAUAUUUAGACACCGGAAGUGUUCCGGGUGGUUUCGGAGAAAACCGGAGUGCUGGAGGGGUUACCGGAAUCCCCCGGGGAAGUAUUGGGCCUUAGUGAGCCUUGGGGGAGAGAGAGGGCAGCAGCCCAGGAGGUGGCGCGCCCCCUCCCAUGGGGAGUCCGAAUUGGACUAGGGGAGGGGGCGCGGCCCCUCUUUCCCUCUCCCUCUCCCCCUCUUUCCUCCCCCCUUCCCCCUUCCUAGUAGGACUAGGAAAGGAUUAAUCCUACUCCUACUAGGAGGAGGAUUCCUACUCUCCUUGGGGUGCACCAAGGCUGGCCGGCCUCCCCCCUUGCUCCUUUAUAUACGGGGGCGGGGGGCACCCUAAGACACACAAGUUGAUUGUUCCAAGCCAUGUGCGGUGCCCCCCUCCACCAUAAUCCACCUCGGUCAUAUCGUAGUGGUGCUUAGGCGAAGCCCUGCAUCGGUAGCAUCAUCAUCACCGUCAUCACGCCGUCGUGCUGACGAAACUCUCCCUCGACACUCUGCUGGAUCGUGAGUUCGUGGGACGUCAUCGAGCUGAACGUGUGCUGAACUCGGAGGUGCCGUGCGUUCGGUACUUGGAUCGGUCGGAUUGUGAAGACGUACGACUACAUCAACCACGUUGAUAAAACGCUUCCGCUUACGGUCUAUGAGGGUACGUGGACGACACUCUCCCCUCUCGUUGAUAUGCAUCACCAUGAUCUUGCGUGUGCAUAGGAUUUUUUUUGAAAUUACUACGUUCCCCAACAAUGAUGAUAUCAUGCCAAUUUUCAACCUCUUGAGAGUUCAUUUGAAGUGCUUUUCAAUUUCGGGGUCAUUUAGCUCAAAAAAUUCAGUAAAUGCAUGAAAAUAACAGAUGAAGUCAGAAAGGGUUGAAAAUUGAUGAUGUGGCUUUGAAUGGUUCAUUUUGAACACACAAAAGUCUGGAGCUCAAAUAAGUUCAAAAAAUGAAAUUCCUUUGUAACAGAUGAGUUUUCGUCCGAAACCCUGAUACUUCGAAAGAGAUUGUCCAUUUUGUACACGAAGUGCAUCCAGUUUUUGCUGUAACCCUCUUAAAUUUUUAGCACAUGCUAUGUGGGUGAAAUGAUGAUAUCAUGCCAAUUUUCAACCUCUUGGGAGUUCAUUUGAAGUGCUUUUCCAUUUCAGGGUCAUUUAGCUCAAAAAAAUUAGAAAAUGCAUGAAAAAUAACACAUGAAGUUAGAAAGGGUUGAAAAUUGAUGAUGUGGCUUUGAAUGGUGCAUUUUGAACACACAAAAAGUCUGGAGUUCAAAUAAUUUCAAAAAAUGGAAUCCCUUUGUAACAGAUGAGUUUUCGUUCGAAACCCUAAUACUUCGAAAUAGAUUGUCCAUUUUGUACACGAAGUGCAUCCAGUUUUUGUCGUAACCCUCUCAACUUUUUAGCACAUGCUAUGUGGGUGAAAUGAUGAUACCAUGCCAACUUUCAAGCUUUUCAGAGUUCAUUUGUAGUGCUUUUCAAUUUCAGGGUCAUUUAGCUCAAAAANNNNNNNNNNNNNNNNNNNNNNNNNNNNNNNNNNNNNNNNNNNNNNNNNNNNNNNNNNNNNNNNNNNNNNNNNNNNNNNNNNNNNNNNNNNNNNNNNNNNNNNNNNNNNNNNNNNNNNNNNNNNNNNNNNNNNNNNNNNNNNNNNNNNNNNNNNNNNNNNNNNNNNNNNNNNNNNNNNNNNNNNNNNNNNNNNNNNNNNNNNNNNNNNNNNNNNNNNNNNNNNNNNNNNNNNNNNNNNNNNNNNNNNNNNNNNNNNNNNNNNNNNNNNNNNNNNNNNNNNNNNNNNNNNNNNNNNNNNNNNNNNNNNNNNNNNNNNNNNNNNNNNNNNNNNNNNNNNNNNNNNNNNNNNNNNNNNNNNNNNNNNNNNNNNNNNNNNNNNNNNNNNNNNNNNNNNNNNNNNNNNNNNNNNNNNNNNNNNNNNNNNNNNNNNNNNNNNNNNNNNNNNNNNNNNNNNNNNNNNNNNNNNNNNNNNNNNNNNNNNNNNNNNNNNNNNNNNNNNNNNNNNNNNNNNNNNNNNNNNNNNNNNNNNNNNNNNNNNNNNNNNNNNNNNNNNNNNNNNNNNNNNNNNNNNNNNNNNNNNNNNNNNNNNNNNNNNNNNNNNNNNNNNNNNNNNNNNNNNNNNNNNNNNNNNNNNNNNNNNNNNNNNNNNNNNNNNNNNNNNNNNNNNNNNNNNNNNNNNNNNNNNNNNNCGAGUUUCCGUAUGAAACCCUGAUACUUCGAAAGAUUUUGUCCGUUUUGUACACGAAGUGCAUCCAGUUUUUGACGCAACCCUCUCAACUUUUUAGCACAUGCUAUGUGGGUGAAAUGAUGAUACCAUGCCAAUUUUCAACCUCUUCAGAGUUCAUUUGAAGUGCUUUUCAAUUUCACGGUCAUUUAGCUCAGAAAAUCAGUAAAUGCAUGAAAAAUAAAAGAUGAUGUCACAAAGGGUUGAAAAUUGAUGAUGUGGCUUUGAAUGGUGCAUUUUGAACACACAAAAAGUCUGGAGUUCAAAUAAGUUCAAAAAAAUGAAAUCCCUUUGUAACAGAUGAGUUUUCGUUCGAAACCCUGAUACUUCGAAAGAGAUUGCCCGUUUUGUACACGAAGUGCAUCCAGUUUUUGCCGUAACCCUCUCUACUUUUUAGCACAUGCUAUGUGAGUGAAAUGAUGAUACCAUGCCAACUUUCAACCUUUUCAGAGUUCAUUUGUAGUGCUUUUCAAUUUCAGGGUCAUUUAGCGCAAAAAGAAUGAACUUAAAAUAAUCUUAAAAUAUUCUGUUUUGAUCAACUAAAACAAAACUAUAAUAUUCUUCAAUAGCAAAAAGAAUCAACUAAAAAGCUUUUAUAAAACUCUAAUAGCAAAAGGAAUCAACUAAAAAGCUUUUAUAAACCUCUAGUAUUUUUUAAACUAAAAUUAUAUAAAAUUUAUGCAACUAAAAUUAUCAAAAUAUUUUCUGUUCAAAACAUUAAUGGCAAAAAGAAUUUUCAUAAAGAAAUUUUUUGUUAGAAACUUUAAUAGCAAACUAAAAUAAAAAAAUCUAUUCUUGAUUAAAACAGACAUUUAAAAUAACCUAAAAAUUAGCAAAUUUAAUAUAUUGAUAAAACACAAUAGCAUUAAAUAGCAGGAAAAAGAAUCACUCAAAAAUCUAUUUUUAUAGUAAAGCUAUUCACAAACUAGUGAUUCACACAAAUUUAAAAGAAUUCAAAUUUAAUCUAUUCAAAUUUGAAAAUUAAUGGCACUAACAGAAAGUCUAUAAUUUUUGUGACCUAACAACAAAAAGAAUCACUAGAAAACUGCAAAAAAAAGAAAUAAAGAAAAAAAAAGCAAAAAGGAAAACAGAAAAAUGCCACCUACUGGCCACCACGGCCUGAAUGUGACUAGAAAUCCAGCUAGUUGGGCCAGGAUUCAGACCCAUAGAAGGCCGAGCAGGCCCACGGGCAUAGCAGUGUCAGAUUAGGCCCAUAGGCGUGCAGUUCAGAGGAGUUCAAUAGGGAUGAGGCAGUCGAGCUUAGAAACCGGCGCGGGGCGCUCCCAACUAGUGAGGUGGGACUAAACUCCCACCACCACGCCGCUGUGCAAGCCCAUUGGUCCCAGUUGGUGGCACGAACCGGGACCAAUGCUGCCCUUUGGUCCCGGUUCGUGGCACCAACCGGGACCAAUGCCCACCUAUAGUCCCGGUUGGUGCCACCANNNNNNNNNNNNNNNNNNNNNNNNNNNNNNNNNNNNNNNNNNNNNNNNNNNNNNNNNNNNNNNNNNNNNNNNNNNNNNNNNNNNNNNNNNNNNNNNNNNNNNNNNNNNNNNNNNNNNNNNNNNNNNNNNNNNNNNNNNNNNNNNNNNNNNNNNNNNNNNNNNNNNNNNNNNNNNNNNNNNNNNNNNNNNNNNNNNNNNNNNNNNNNNNNNNNNNNNNNNNNNNNNNNNNNNNNNNNNNNNNNNNNNNNNNNNNNNNNNNNNNNNNNNNNNNNNNNNNNNNNNNNNNNNNNNNNNNNNNNNNNNNNNNNNNNNNNNNNNNNNNNNNUGAAAACAGACCUUUGGUCCCGGUUGGUGGCACCAACCGGGACUAAAGGGGGUCAUUGGUCCCGGUUGGUGCCAUGAACCGGGACCAAUGCUCUGGGUAUAUAAGUAGCACUUAGGAAUUUUCAGAACCGCCCAUCCCCACUUCGAUCUCUCCUCCUCCUAUCCCCCCGACGGCGGCGAAUCCAUCCACGACGCCGGCAGGCUGCCUGAGCUAGCUGUCGCCGACGCCCUCGCGGCGCCCUGCCCCCGACGCCGCCGCUCCUCGCGCCCCUCUGCCCUGACCCAACGCGCCGCCGCACCCCCUGCCCCGUACGCCUCCUCGUAGCCGUCGCCAUGCCCCUGCCCCGCCGUCGCCGUGCCCUGCCUCCUCGUCGCCGCCCCCAGUGAGCUCGCCGCCCCCAGUGUAUAUAGAUGUUCUUCGAUUGUGCGAUAGAUGAUGAUGGUGAUGAUUUUUCUGUAGUAAUUAACUUGGUCAAUAUUUUGUAUUUAUAAUUUAUUUAGAGUUCAUUUUGAUGUUCAUUGUGAUGUGAAAACUUGGUCAAUAUGUAUAUAGAUGAAUUUUCCUAAGUUUAGAUGCAUUUUCCUAAUUAAGUUUAGAUGCGUAGUUAUAUUAAUUUAGAUGUGUACUUAAUUUAGAUGUUGUAAUUUUUUCUAUUGUAAUUUUGUUCAUAGAGUUUUUUAGUAAGUGUUUAAUAGAAUUAGUUAGAAAAUUAAUAGAACUAGUUAAACUAGUUUAUUUUUAGUAAGUACUACUUUAUUUUAUUUAUAGUAAGUGCUUAGGUGAACAGUUGAAUUAAUAAAACUAGUUUAUUUUUAGUAAGAAAAUUUAGGUAUAUGAGAUUUGAUGAUCUAAUUAAUUUUUUACUAUAGAACUAGUUUAUUUUUAGUAAGAAAAUUAAUAGAACUAGUUUAUUUUUUUUAGUUAAAGCAAUUAUUCCCGCAUCAACGUCGACGAUGCCUAUCCCGCAUCCUCGUCGUUGACUCGGUGGAGGAGGCCUGCUUGAUCAGAGGGGCCAUGUCUGGGACUGGGCUCCGCCGGGCUGGUACUGGGAGGUGCUACCUUUCGGGGGCACAACUUGGUGAGGAGCCAGCCCGUCGUGGACCCUCACCUUCUUUGGUGGCGGCCGCGUGGGCCAGUGACGGUGGGGAGGCUUGAGGACCCCGCGGAGGUGGUACGUCACCGUGUCAGCGAGGAGGACGAGCACGUCCGUCGUUACAUGGUUGCGUUGGAGGGCAGGUUCUCCAAUACCUGACAGGUUCUUCAGGGAUCUCACUGGAGCUAUGAUCCUGUGAUGGUUCCUUCUCUUUGGGUGUCCACCGCCUGCGCCGAUACCCGUCGUUCGCUAGGGUUUUAGCUGUAUUAGUGAUGUUAUAUGUAUGAUACUAUUCGAGAUGUAUUAGUGAUAAUAUUCGGCGAUGUACGGACGAAAGAGAUGAUUUAGUUUUGCUUAUUGAAUGCAUGCUAAUUUGAAUACUAAUUUAUUUUAUGAUUUGGUUUUGCUUAUUGAAUGCUCAAAUUGGAAAACUACUCCUACUUUGAUUGCUCCGAUAGUCAGCCCGUGAUGAACAAUAAUUAUCUAAUUUAGUUUUUGUAGUACAUAUUUUUAAUUGUACAAGUUUAAUCUUUGAAUUAUAUGAACCUAGGAAAUGUCGUCAUCGGACGAUGAAAGUCUCCCGGGGGAGUGCGACUGGUGUAAAAACAACCGGGGUCUGUGUGACAAGCCUCACCUGGACGAAGGUCAGCGCUUCAACAUUAAGCUCCAGGAGACCUUCGAUGUUGAAA
rnacentral:lncRNA from 1 species